rnacentral:rRNA from 1 species
AUCAACUUUCGAUGGUGGAUAGAGGCCUACCAUGGUGGUAACGGGUAACGGGGUGUUAGGGCACGACACCGGAGAGGGAGCCUGAGAAACGGCUACCACAUCCAAGGAAGGCAGCAGGCGCGCAAAUUACCCAAUCCCGACACGGGGAGGUAGUGACAAUAAAUAACAAUACAGGGUUCUUUCGGAUUUUGUAAUUGGAAUGAGUACAAUUUAAAUCUCUUAACGAGGAACAAUUGGAGGGCAAGUCUGGUGCCAGCAGCCGCGGUAAUUCCAGCUCCAAUAGCGUAUAUUAAAGUUGUUGCAGUUAAAAAGCUCGUAGUUGAAUUUCGGGAUCAAUACGUCGGUCGUGCUUCGGUACGUACUGGCGUCAUUGAUUUCUCCCUUCUGACGAACCAUGAUGUCAUUAACUUGGUGUCAUGGGAAAUCAGGACUGUUACUUUGAAAAAAUUAGAGUGUUUAAAGCAGGCUCACGCUUGAAUACAUUAGCAUGGAAUAAUGAAAUAGGACGUUCGAUCCUAUUUUGUUGGUUUCUAGGAUCAACGUAAUGAUUAAUAGGGAUAGUUGGGGGCAUUAGUAUUCAAUUGUCAGAGGUGAAAUUCUUGGAUUUAUUGAAGACUAACUACUGCGAAAGCAUUUGCCAAGGAUGUUUUCAUUAAUCAAGAACGAAAGUUAGGGGAUCGAAGACGAUCAGAUACCGUCGUAGUCUUAACCAUAAACUAUGCCGACUAGGGAUCGGAUGAUGUUAAUUAUUUAAUGACUCAUUCGGCGCCUUACGGGAAACCAAAGUGUUUGGGUUC